GCUGCAAAAAGCCUGCGGCGCUCCGAGGCGCCCGGUCCUGGGGACCUCUUUCCACUCUUUACUCUCGGGAUAGGAGGCUAGGACUGGGGGGUUGUUUUUUGGUUUUCUGGCUUUGUUUUCAUCGGGGUUUGGACGGGUUUUGUGUUUCCUAUUUUUCCUCUUUAUUUUUCUCUGUUUUUUCUCUCUCUUUUUUUUCUUUUUUUGCCUUUUCUUUCCUGUCAUUCUCCCAGCCAAAAGCCGCCUUCGACCCUUUUGAUUUGAUGUAGCAAAGAUUGUGUCCAGAUUAUCUGAAAUUGACACUGAAGAAGCUCUUGCUCCAGUUCCCACCUGGAUGUUGGAAACCCAUGCCAAGCUGAUCCGAACCCUCCUGGAUUUUCCAGGGUAUUCAAAGAAAUCCGGAAAGGAAGGUUUCUGCUUUGGGGUCUGGGAUGCCUGGCUCAGCGCACAGAACCACCCAGAGGCCCAGCCAGUGGCAAGGGACGCUCUCGGAUUUAUCUUUUGCUGGAUUAGUUGCGCACGUACCUGGAUCCUCCAGGCGGCUCUGGGCGAGGCUGGCGCUGCCGGGGUAGGACUGCACCGAACUGAUGUAGGGGCUGGACGCGUGGCUGCUGACCGAGUUGACGUAAGGGUAGCCCAGCGGUCGGGAGAAG